rnacentral:snoRNA from 1 species
AUGAUCGACAACUGACUCUUCAAAUCUUUUGUACCGUUUAUUUUUAAAUAUUCUCUAAUAAUAUUUAAAUCUGUUCUUUCCUGAGUGUAAAGCGAGUAGGCAGUUGUUGUCUGUUAUUGAUGAUCUUUCUUCUCUCUGGGGAAGUAGGAGGGAAAGAACACAGACUGA